UCUGCAGCAGCUGUACGUACUUCAAAUAGUUUAAAAACAUUUACAAGGGGCUGGCAGGUAACUGGGGUCCAGAAACCUUGGAUUUGUGGUGCAGACACCUUCAUGGGAAGAAGUUAAGGCUGAGUUCAGGCAGAGGCCUGCAGGUGGGCCUGGCUCAGCAGUGCCCGUGGCUGAGGCAGGGCCAGGCUUCAGCAUCACUGGGGCCCUGAGGGGCUGAAAUGGGGACCUGGGGCCUGGGCAGGGUGGAGGGAGACCUGCAAGAGGAGUGCCAGGGCCUGUAGGGUCAGGUAGUGUCCUCAGAGCCCUGAAAUGAAAAACAGCAGAGUCAGAAGAUGUCAAGCUGAUAUGGUUGGAUUCUGUAUCUCCUUGUGCAUUGGCAACAUAAUUGUUGUGAAGGCCACAAAAAGAAAGAUGAGAUAGCAGUGAUAGCUGGUCAGGAAGUCCUUUGAGACAUCAGCUGAACUUUGCUCUUCUAAUGGAAGAAAUAUCAAGUUCACUUGCACUGAGUUCUGAAUUUGUUGGUUACCAUAAAAAUGAUAAUUAGCAAAC